GGCUGGAUUGUGCAACCUCGACAUUUACUGGCAAAGAGACAGAGGUGAGCUUGGGGACAGGUCAUGGCUGGCCUCCCCCGCUCCCCUCCCCAGUUCUAUCCUCCAAGUCCCCGUGGCAUAUUCAGUCCCAAGGGCCAGGCUCAUACAGUCACGCCCUCUUGCUGGCACUUGGCUGAUCGGCAGGAGUUGGGCAGCUAAGCUACUGAGAGAGGCUGGCAAGGACAGACGUGCUGUUUUUUCUCUUGGAGCCUGCCCACCAUUUAAUUCAAGAUGCUUUAAUUGAACACCUACUCCAUGCCAGGCACACGGAGAAAUCAGAUGCAGUUUUGACACCAUCCUUACUCCUUAGUAGCUUAGAAUUCAGCAGAAAAUGAAGGCAGAAGUAUGUGUUGUCCUGAGUUUCUACUUUGGCCCUGAGAAGUUACCAUAGAAGUGUAAAGAAGGAAGAGACUUUCCAACCAGGGACAGCCCUACCAAGGCUUAGUUCAGAGGUCAUUUGGUGAGGACCUACUAUGUGCAGAAGACUCCCUAGACACCUCUCUGAGGUACAGGAUUAUUAUCACCUCUAUUUUACAGACGAAGAGACUGGGGUUCUGAAAUGUUAAAUAACUUCCUAAAAUUAUAUCACCAGGAAGAGGUACAAACAGGAAGAGAUUUCCAGUCAAAGCAUAUACUUUUUCCAGGAAACUAGACCACCUACUCCUUAGAGAAGGCUGAAUUUGUCCUGAGCUUGAAGUAAGACUGACAUUUGGUCAGGCAGCUCUGAGGUGGAGGGCUUUCCUUCUGUUUCUGCACCCAGACAGGUGCAAACUGGCUGCCCUGAGACACAGUCACUGUCCUCCCACGGGGGUGCUGACAAAGCCUGAAAGCAUGCUUCGGAGGAGGCAUCCACUCCAGAUCCUCUCUCAGCCUCCAUCUGUGAUUCAGCCCUAAAAAAAUAACCUCGCUGCCAAUCCAGAUAGUCCUGGCUGCCCACUGAAACCAACAUCUCAGAUGGAUUUAGCACCUUCUGGAAGCCAUUCCUCAGUCAUGCACCAUUAAUAACCCGUUCAGCUAUCUAACUGGCUCGAGCACAAACACACCCCUUAUGUCACCCCGAGCUCUAUCUGGUUUAGGUGAAAAUCAUCAGCAGACAAAACAAUCAGAUCAGAUGUUAAUACAGAAUUUUACAUGGUUGGAUAAGGCUGCUAGUUACCUGAACUUGCUGUUCAGUCUUCUCAUGCUCACUGAGAAAGGGCCUUCCUGGUGAUGAAAUACACAGUGCUGCCCCUUCACCUGCAUACUGAAGUCAUCUGUGGAGCUCGAACAGCUGCUACUGUCUGGGAUCCACCCCCACUGACUAUGCUGCCGAAUGGCCUGGUGUGCAGCUUGGCCUAGCGACAGUUAAAAAGUGCCCCCAGUUGGGCCGGGGAUUUAGCUCAGUGGUUUUGCCGCCUGCUGUGCAAGUGCAAAGACCUGAGUUCAAUCCCCGGUACCAAAAAAAAAAAAGUGCCCCCAGCUGAUUCUACCAGUGACCAAGAUGGACCAUAGCACCCAAAGGACCACCAUAAACUGUCUUGGCCCAGCAAAAUGUUUCCUAAUCAAGCCUUUCUGG
rnacentral:lncRNA from 1 species